rnacentral:rRNA from 1 species
UACGAAGGGGGCUAGCGUUGCUCGGAAUUACUGGGCGUAAAGCGCACGUAGGCGGCUUUCUAAGUCGGGGGUGAAAUCCUGGAGCUCAACUCCAGAACUGCCCUUGAUACUGAAGAUCUUGAGUUCGGGAGAGGUGAGUGGAACUGCGAGUGUAGAGGUGAAAUUCGUAGAUAUUCGCAAGAACACCAGUGGCGAAGGCGGCUCACUGGCCCGAUACUGACGCUGAGGCACGAAAGCGUGGGGAGCAAACAGG